GGAGAUUUAGCUCAGCGGUAGAGCAUUUGCUUAGCAAGCACAAGGCCCUGGGUUUGGUCCUCAGCUCCA
rnacentral:tRNA from 1 species